UACAGAGGUCUCAAGCGUUGUUCGGAUUCAUUGGGCGUAAAGGGUGCGUAGGCGGCGCGGUAAGUCGGAUGUGAAAUCUCGGAGCUUAACUCCGAAACUGCAUUCGAUACUGCCGUGCUUUGAGGACUGGAGAGGGUCGCGGAAUUCCCGGUGUAGAGGUGAAAUUCGUAGAUAUCGGGAGGAACACCAGUGGCGAAGGCGGCGACCUGGACAGACACUGACGCUGAGACGCGAAAGCGUGGGGAGCAAACAGG
rnacentral:rRNA from 1 species